rnacentral:rRNA from 1 species
AUUGAACGCUGGCGGCAGGCCUAACACAUGCAAGUCGAGCGGAGCGGCGGACGGGUGAGUAAUGCCUAGGAAUCUGCCUGGUAGUGGGGGAUAACGUCCGGAAACGGGCGCUAAUACCGCAUACUAUCAGAUGAGCCUAGGCCGGAGUAGCUAGUUGGUGGGGUAAAGGCCUACCAAGGCGACGAUCCGUAACGGGACUGAGAGGAUGAUCAGUCACACUGGGACUGAGACACGGUCCAGACUCCUACGGGAGGCAGCAGUGGGGAAUAUUGCGCAAUGGGCGAAAGUCUAAUCCAACCAUGCCGGGUGUGUGAGAAAGGGCUUCGGAGUGGAAAGCCCUUUAAGUGUGUAGGCGUUAGCAACAGAAUAAGCAACGGAUAACUUCGUGCCAGCAGCCGCGGUAAUUC